rnacentral:rRNA from 1 species
AUGCGCCAGCUAUAGCUCGUCACCAACAUGAGGGCUCAUAAUGACACGUUGUUUGUAGAUUACUUGCUAAGGGUAGGCAAUGGCACCGAGGAAGUUGACGAUCAAGGGAACAUAUGACUCCCUGAAGAUAUUUGUGUGCCGUCUACAGGCGAGGUUGAUGACAUGGAGAAGCUGAUUGGCCAUGUAUUUCCUGGUCUAGAUGACAUCAUGUUUGACCCGAAUUACAUGACUUCUCGUGCAAUCCUCUCCACCAUGAAUGACAAGGUCAACAAUAUAAACAUAUGCAUGAUAGAGCAUUUUCAGGGAGAAGAAGUAAUCCACCAUAGCUUUGAUAGUGUAGAGGAGGACCCAUAUGGCUACUAUGCUCCCGAGUUCCUGAAUGGAUUGACUCCCAAUGGUCUGCCUCCGCAUGCACUCAAAUUGAAGCUGAACUGCCCUGUCAUACUUCUGAGGAACAUUGAUCCAGCUAACGGACUGUGUAAUGGGACGAGGCUUGUGGUCCAUAGGUUUUGA